CUUGAAGAUAAUUGGAAAAAUUUUGCAAUCAGUUAAUGGGUAUAAGUCUAGUGUCACAGUGUGCAUUUGUGACUAGAUCUACACUCAUUGAUUGCUUGCAAACAAAUCUUCAAG
rnacentral:pre_miRNA from 1 species